CCUACGGGAGGCAGCAGUGAGGAAUAUUGGUCAAUGGGCGGGAGCCUGAACCAGCCAAGCCGCGUGAGGGAAGAAGGUACAGCGUAUCGUAAACCUCUUUUGUCAGGGAACAAAGGCGGGGACUAGUCCCCGGAUGAGGGUACCUGAAGAAAAAGCAUCGGCUAACUCCGUGCCAGCAGCCGCGGUAAUACGGAGGAUCCGAGCGUUAUCCGGAUUUAUAGGGUUAAAGGGGGGCGAAGGCGGACUGUUAAGGCAGCGGUAAAAGCCCGGGGCCCAACCCCGGAGAGCCGGUGAAACUGGCGGGCUGGAGUUGGGGAGAAGUACGCGGAAUGCGUGGUGUAGCGGUGAAAUGCUUAGAUAUCGCGCAGAACCCCGAUUGCGAAGGCAGCGUACCGGCUCCACACUGACGCUGAGGCACGAAAGCGUGGGUAUCGAACAGGAUUAGAUACCCUUGUAGUC
rnacentral:rRNA from 1 species